GACCCAUACACCUCCCCUCCCGCCUGCCCUGAAUGGACUCUCAUGCAAUUAAUACUACGUCAUUUGCUCCGACCGUCAAAUAACGCCGCGGUUGGGUUUACAUUGGAGUUAGUUGAAAGCCUUAUUCGUCACAUACUGUCGAUAAAGGGUGCCUCCGUGCGUUGGUUUCCGAUUGCGAGUGCCGCUGCCCAAUCGGCAUUAUUUGACGAGUUGGGA